rnacentral:misc_RNA from 1 species
CAUUUACUUAUGUAUCUGGGUGAUCCUAAUCAGUGAAAAAUCAAACAUUCCUUUUACCAAAAGGACUAACAUUCCCAUCCGAGCCCUUCUAACUAAUUUAUAAAGGACGCAAAAUUAAAUCUACCUACCCUUAUUAAGGGACGAGGUGGGGUGCCUAACACCUUCCCCACCCGUUUACGGACCCCGAACCUAGAAUCUCUGNUUCAUUCUUUAUCUUCUCAAAUGGUUUUCUUUAGUUCCCCUCAAAACUAAGGUGACGACUCC